UGACAAUUUUCAGCAACAUCCCCUAGAAAUUGGAAUAAGUAAACCUCUGUGACCUGCUGAGUAGAGCACAUCUGCUCUCUACUGUUUUUUUGAAACAGAGAAAUAAACUCAGGUCUGGGAAUCUAAGACCCAGUUUCCAAUCUGUGUGGCUGCUCUGGGAAGUCUUAUAACCACUCUGAUUCUCAGUUUCUUCAUGUAUAAAAUAAAGUGGUUAGAAUAUAGUAUUUCAAAUGCCCCUGCUGAGUUCUAAGUUCUGUGAUUCUAUAAGAGUUGCCAUUGGAAACCAGGUCAUCUGACUUUUUAAGGAAUUUAUUGCUGAACUUAAAAGCCCCAUGCUUAGGACCAUGCAACACAUGACCUAAAUGAUAGCAAGGAACAAAUCAGCUGCCUUUAGAGUGAUUCUGAACCAAUGAAAAUCUGGAGUGGGAUGGUAGCUGUGGACAUGAAGAAGAAGCCUCUAGGAGGAGGAGUGUUGAUUUCGGUUAGUCAGAUUCCAGGAUGAAAGAUCACAAUUUCUUGAAGUAGAGCUGGCUUUAAAAGGACUCCAAAAAUCAAGGCAAAGUUUCUACUUAUAUUCAGAUGACUCCUUGAGGGGAAAAGAUAAGAAGUAUAAUUUCUUGGACAUUGGCUCUCAGACUGACUCAUAAUCUAACAGUAACAGAAACCACUCCCAUGGUUGGUAAUUCAAUCUGUUGUCCACUCUUACUCAGAAGAUGAUUACCACCAGUACUUCUAUUUCAAGGGAGGCUUUCUGCAAUGUCUCAGAUGAGAAAACAGAGAGAAAUCAAGUAACUUGUUCACACAACUAGUGGAUAAACUGAGAUUCAUACAUGGCUAUCCUCAUAAUCACCACCCUUAACUCUCACACUAUAUUAUCUCUCAGGUAUUGUACAUUUCUUACUCUCUGACCCAGAUAUUUGUUCUGAGUAUGGUUGAUACUUUGGUCCUUCGAUUUAAAAGUUGAGGUCUACAAGCUUCCCUUUAUGUUUGCUGGUACAUAGAAUAUAAUUAACAGAAAGUAUAAAUAGAAAUAACCAAGUUAAUGGUACUGUCAUUUCUUUGAUCAUCCAAAUACAAAGCCAUAUAGAUAAAUAUGAUCCUUCAGCAUCUUUUCCCCCUCAUGUCUUCCAGAGUUGGGCCCAUCUAACUAAGUUGGCAGAACAUGACCCUUAAUAUCAGAGUAAAGGCCAAGGUGAUUUAUAUUAGACUAGGAGUUCCUUACUGAAAGUAGUGAUGCUAUACCUGUAGCCAUUUCAGUACCUCUCUGGCAUUUAGGAGGGAUUUGGUAUAUUUUACCAAGUAAAUGAAUCUAAUACAACUGUAAUGAAUUCUAUUUCAGCAGAGAUUCUUGUUCUUUUCUUUUUAUUCAUCUUCAUUGCCCAUUCUCCCAUGAGGCCUUUGUUUCUUCUCCCCAGAAUAUUCCAUUUGCCUCCUACUUCCCUUUGCAACCACAUUUCUUGCCUCUCUCUACCCCAACAUGCCAGCUUUCCUUUCUCAACCUAUCUGUCCUUUCCCAGCCCCUCUCCCUAAACCUAGACUUUAAUCAUUCUGAAUUAUUUAUAAUUUAGAGUAAGAGUAAUAGAUCACCUUCAGGACUUUGGACUUGCUACUUCUCAGAUGUCUGUUCAUCUUCAGGGUUCAGUUAAGAUUAUGUCCAUCCCAGGAACCUCCUUGAUUUAGCAACUUUCCCCAUCAGCCCUCUCUAUGCCUUACCCCCAGACAGGAGUCAGGACUCAUAGCAACCAGGGCAACCACAGAACAUUUUUAUCCUAUCAUUUUUUGUUUUUUUGAGACAGAG